AUGUCAAUUUACUUUUCUGUUGUGUUUAUUUUGCAAAGUGCAUAAAUAGCGAAAAAACAAAACGCAACGAUGGUUAUUUGCAGUCAUUAGAGAUUCACAAGUGGUUACUAAUAGAAGACAAAAGCAGCUGCGAAAUUAUUUAAAUUAGCAAUUAUUAGCAAAUAUGGCAUUAAAUUCAGCCAAAAAUGGUGUCGAUGUUCUGCUGCGCAUAAGAAUUCCGUCAGUGACCUUGGCAAUUGUCGCAUGCCUGCUAGGCGUGUCCUUGCCACCCACCAAUGCCGGCGAAGUGAACGAUAAACCCAACGUUUUGCUUAUUCUAAGCGAUGACCAAGACCUUACACUGGAGGGCAUGACCCCGAUGAGACAGGUGCAGAAGUUAAUCGCAAAAGCCGGUGCACAAUUCAGCCAUGCUUACACUAGUUCACCACUCUGCUGUCCCUCACGCGCCAGCCUACUCUCUGGCACGUAUGCGCACAAUCAUGGCACUAUCAACAACACCGUUAACGGCGGCUGCAAUGGCCACCGUUGGCGCACAGAAAUUGAGCCACACGCACUGCCUGUGCUGCUACAAGACGAUGGCGGUUAUGAGACCUUCUUCGCUGGCAAAUACUUGAAUGAGUUUCACGGCGAACGCAAGCCGCCGGGCUGGACACAAUUCUAUGGCUUACAUGGCAAUUCGCGCUACUACAACUACACGCUUCGUGAGAACGAACGCAACGUUAGCUACACGGACACCUAUUUAACGGAUCUGUUGCGCGACAAGGCGUUGGAGUUUCUGAAAACACGCAAUAAGCAACAGCCAUUCUUCGCAAUGAUCGCACCACCUGCUCCUCACGCACCACACACCCCAGCAGAGCGACAUCGUGGCGCAUUUGCCAAUGUUAAGGCUUUGCGCACACCCAACUUCAAUCGCGUACCAUUGCCGCAGGAGAAGCACUGGCUUGUGGCAGCAACACGCCCUAUACCGAAUGAAACGUUGAAAUUACUAGACAACUACUACCGCCAACGCUGGGAAACAUUGUUGGCCGUCGACGAAAUGGUGGCCGCAAUCAUUGAGACAUUGGAUGGUCAACGGCAGUUGGACAACACUUAUAUAAUAUACACAUCAGAUAAUGGCUAUCACAUGGGCCAGCACGCGCAACCCUGGGACAAGCGUCAGCCCUAUGAGACCGACAUACGCGUACCGCUGCUAAUGCGUGGACCCAGCAUACCGCAAGGUGCUGUAGCGCCACAACCCACGUUGCUACUAGAUUUAAUGCCGACAAUAUUGGAGUGGACGUCACUGCAUGCACCCACACCGUUGGAUGGCUUGUCAAUACAGGUGGCCUUACAAGGCGCGAGCGACGGUAAGCAGUUGAAAGAUUAUCGGCGCAGUGUGUUGAUACAGCAUUGGGGUGAAGGCAACGCUGACACUUAUAAUCCCAGUUGUCCAUGGUCGCCGAAAGACCACUUGUCCGAGUGCACGCCCGUGGCGGAUUGCCAUUGUCAAGAUUCCUGGAAUAAUACAUAUGCAUGUGUGAGGCAAUUUAGAGACAACACUGAUCGGCUGUUUUGCGAAUUCAACGACAGAGAGAAUUUCGUUGAGGCUUACGAUGUCAACGAUGAUCCGCAUCAAAUCAAUAACAUCGGCUAUGAUUUGUUGCCCAUUGAACACGCUUUUUAUAGUUUGGCAUUGGCGAACUUGACGCGUUGCAGCGGUAGCCAAUGCAAUGAUAUCAACAUUUAAAUGCUGAACCAUUGUGAGGCGCACAAAAUGAUCUCCAAUUGUGAUUGCAGCUCGCAUAAAUUUUCGUUAUAGCACACUUUCGGGUUGCCUCCAGUAAUGUGUUUUUGUCGUGCCGCUGACCACAUGGAAAAGCACAACCACUGACACAUUCAGCUCUAAAACUAUUUUUAUUAAUUGUAAUGUUUAUAUAUGUUGGACUUCGUUUCAUGUGAUAUAUCAUGUCAAUUCAUUUUAUUUAUGUCCUUAAACACUGAACGUAAUCAUAAAAAUUAAAUUAUUUUAUUUUUAAGUUAAUAUGCUUCAUAGAAAUUAUUGUAUGAUUUCACUUGUUGGUUUUUCAAACCAUAUUAUUGGAGUUAUUUAAAAAAAAAAAAUUAAAAUUAUUAAAAAAAAGUACCAACAUUUCAUUUUAAUUAUGAUUCAGCUUAUACCGCAGCUUACUAAAAAAACUAUAUUACUACAAGAGCGUGCUCAUUGCGAAACAACGAAAUUACUACAUAGAGUAUGUAUAUUUUCGAUUGAAUUGCAGCUUGAACGUUUU